AGUGAACGCUGGCGGUAGGCCUAACACAUGCAAGUCGAACGGCAGCACAGUAAGAGCUUGCUCUUACGGGUGGCGAGUGGCGGACGGGUGAGGAAUACAUCGGAAUCUACUUUUUCGUGGGGGAUAACGUAGGGAAACUUACGCUAAUACCGCAUACGACCUACGGGUGAAAGCAGGGGAUCUUCGGACCUUGCGCGAUUGAAUGAGCCGAUGUCGGAUUAGCUAGUUGGCGGGGUAAAGGCCCACCAAGGCGACGAUCCGUAGCUGGUCUGAGAGGAUGAUCAGCCACACUGGAACUGAGACACGGCCCAGACUCCUACGGGAGGCAGCAGUGGGGAAUAUGGGACAAUGGGCGCAAGCCUGAUCCAGCCAUACCGCGUGGGUGAAGAAGGCCUUCGGGUUGUAAAGCCCUUUUGUUGGGAAAGAAAAGCAGCAGGUUAAUACCCCGCUGUUCUGACGGUACCCAAAGAAUAAGCACCGGCUAACUUCGU
rnacentral:rRNA from 1 species